GGGGAUGUAGCUCAGUUGGGAGAGCGCUUGUCUGGCAGACAAGAGGUCAGGGGUUCGACUCCCCUCAUCUCCACCA
rnacentral:tRNA from 1 species